rfam:Aedes aegypti strain Liverpool supercont1.223 genomic scaffold, whole genome shotgun sequence.
CAAACGGCCCUUUUCAGGGCCACAAAAUCAAUGAAAAAAUCAAUG